rnacentral:rRNA from 1 species
UACGAAGGGAGCUAGCGUUUUUCGGAAUUACUGGGCGUAAAGGGCGCGUAGGCGGUUUAGUAAGUCAGGUGUGAAAGCCCCGGGCUUAACCUGGGAACAGCAUUUGAGACUGCUAGACUUGAGAUUGAAAGAGGAGAGUGGAAUUGCGAGUGUAGAGGUGAAAUUCGUAGAUAUUCGCAGGAACACCAGUGGCGAAGGCGACUCUCUGGUUCGAUACUGACGCUGAGGCGCUAAAGCGUGGGGAGCAAACAGG